CCUACGGGAGGCAGCAGUGAGGAAUAUUGGUCAAUGGACGAGAGUCUGAACCAGCCAAGUAGCGUGAAGGAUGACUGCCCUAUGGGUUGUAAACUUCUUUUAUAAAGGAAUAAAACGAGGCACGUGUGCCUUUUUGCAUGUACUUUAUGAAUAAGGAUCGGCUAACUCCGUGCCAGCAGCCGCGGUAAUACGGAGGAUCCGAGCGUUAUCCGGAUUUAUUGGGUUUAAAGGGAGCGUAGAUGGGUUGUUAAGUCAGUUGUGAAAGUUUGCGGCUCAACCGUAAAAUUGCAAUUGAUACUGGCAGUCGUGAGUACAGUUGAGGUAGGCGGAAUUCGUGGUGUAGCGGUGAAAUGCUGAGAUAUCACGAAGAACUCCGAUUGCGAAGGCAGCUUACUAAACUGCCACUGACAUUGAUGCUCGAAAGUGUGGGUAUCAAACAGGAGUAGAUACCCGAGUAGUC
rnacentral:rRNA from 1 species